UCCUAGUUGUGUUUGAGUAUGAAGAGUGUGUUAAUUGGCCUGCUUGUAAACUCCGAACUUCUGUUUAUUCGGUUAAGACUUCCAAUGCGACACUGAUGCACUGUAUGCUGAUAAGCCUUUUGGUGCUGUUUUUCCCAGAUAUCUACACCUGUCUCCUUGGGGUCUUAAAAAUGCGUCAAAACCGCCGCCAUCUUUGUACAGUGCUCUUGUACUUCAAAUGCCCGGAUAUUUGUGCUGCGUUUGGAACGAAAUCUAAAAACCAGACAGCAAGAGAUUACAUUUCACAAGUACCGUUUAUCCUCUGCAGGUGGCAGAUCCUUUUCUGUCAUUGCUCCAACACUAUGGAACUCCCUACCCAUUGCACUCAGAACCAUCACCACUUUGUCUGAAUUUAAAUCAAGGCUUAAGACCCACCUUUUCAACCUUCACUACCAGUAAAUGGAUAUAUAUUAGGAGUCCUUAAUUUUUCUGAAAU